rnacentral:rRNA from 1 species
GACGAACGCUGGCGGCGUGCCUAAUACAUGCAAGUCGAGCGCAGGAAAUCGACGGAACCCUUCGGGGGGAAGUCGACGGAAUGAGCGGCGGACGGGUGAGUAACACGUAAGGAACCUGCCCUCAGGUCUGGGAUAACCACGAGAAAUCGGGGCUAAUACCGGAUGGGUCAUCGGACCGCAUGGUCCGAGGAUGAAAGGCGCUCCGGCGUCGCCUGGGGAUGGCUUUGCGGUGCAUUAGCUAGUUGGUGGGGUAAUGGCCCACCAAGGCGACGAUGCAUAGCCGACCUGAGAGGGUGAUCGGCCACACUGGGACUGAGACACGGCCCAGACUCCUACGGGAGGCAGCAGUAGGGAAUCUUCCACAAUGGACGAAAGUCUGAUGGAGCAACGCCGCGUGAACGAUGAAGGCCUUCGGGUCGUAAAGUUCUGUUGUAAGGGAAGAACAAGUGCCGCAGGCAAUGGCGGCACCUUGACGGUACCUUGCGAGAAAGCCACGGCUAACUACGUGCCAGCAGCCGCCGUAACAC